AAUCGUCGCCCCACUCCCACCCCACCCGCCUAACCCUAGCGCCCUUUCUCCUUCCCCUCCAUCCCACCAGCCGCCGCACCCCUCCCUCUCUCCCUCAUCCUCUCCUCACCCGCAGCCGCCGGCCUUCUCUCCACUCGCCUCCUCCUCUCCUCUACCACGUUGUCGUCGAUCCACCGCCGGCCUUCUCCUCUGCUUGCCUAGGUCAUCGUCGUGGGAGAGCAGCGGCGGCGGGGUCUUCGCGGUGCGGAUGGGGCUGUAGGGGAAGGAGGAAGCCGGCGAGGAAGGCAAGCAACAGCGGGGAAGGAGCUGGGUGAGCGAUCCUAGCGGGUGGGAAGGGGCAGGGCGAGGCCUCGCGCACCUGCCGGCGGCCGGCAGGUCGAAUUGUUGCGCCACCGCGUCGUCGCCUCCUCUGCGCCAUGAGGUGCCACCUCUGCCUCCACCCCCCCCCCCCCCCCCCCACCAGGCUAGGAGCUCGAGGUGAACAGGCGGUGGGAAGGCGAGAGGAAGCAGGAGCUCAUCUCUCCUUCAAUGGCUGCCUCAUGCAUCUGGAGUAUAAGGAGGACAACACGUGCCUGUUGGAGGCGACUUGAGCGAUGCAGGCCAGCGGCGAACUAGAGAUUCGAAAGUGGUCUUCUUCCAAUGGCUCUAAUGGUAAUUAAUAACCUCUUUUGGUGCUUCACCUCGUUCUUAUAUAUGAUGUACAGAGAAUGCAGUUGUGUCAAGUUUGCUGUCAUUCUCGUGCUGCAACUGGUUUGGUAUAUUUGGUUAAUCGUAACCAGCAAAGAGGAGUCACAUACGUGCCUGCUAUUUCUUUAUGUUGUUGUAUGAAGUGUUCCUUCAACUAAUCAAGCAACCUGACAUUAGUACUUUGUUUAAUUAAUAUCACUCUCAUCAGAGAGUAUGAUAUCAUUUAGCUAGCCUCCUUUCUUUGGAAGAGGGAUAGUGUAAAGGUUAGAAAUGGGUAACGGAAUGAGUGUUCUCAUUUUACUGCCCCUGGAUUUAGGGAAUAUAUAUGCGUAUAUAUUGAUGCUCAUCGUUGCUAUAUCUGGCUCGUCAGGUGCAUGCUAGCUAGAAGUUCAGAUCUGUAAUCAAUAUAUAUACUUGAACUAGAAAGGUCGAUUCUGUGUCUUGAUUUUGUUUAGGAAUAUUAGAAAGUUGAGUAACCUUGUUCUUUCUAAAAUAGGGAUAUUCCUGGGUGUUGUUUACUACUUCUAUUAUGUUGCUUAUUUUUGUGGUUCCGUUUGAACAGGAUGUGCACUCUUGUCUCCGUCAUUAUACCUAUUUUGGAAUCCAUGGCAGCAUGUUGUGCUUUGUCGGCACAUUUGUGCAUGUGUGAGGUCGCAGAUGAACAAGCACCGAAUGCUCAUUAUAUUCUCCUCUGCUCUGAUCUUCUAUAGACAUAUCUAAGAUGUACUUUAUUUCCUGGUAUUUCCUGAGAUUCUGGACUGAUUGUUUGACAGUGACUAUUAUGUAAAAAUGUUUUCAGUUGCUGUUUAGUAUGGAUGCCUCCAUGGUUGCAUAGGCAUCCAUGGUUCUGUGAGGAGGUUAUCUAUGCCGUUCUGUUUUAUAUAGAUGUCUAAUUAGGUAAGCAAUCACACAUGGUCCUGUUAUUUGUUUGUUUCUUUUGAUCAUCUUGAUGUUGAGUUGCGGGUUUAAGCAUUUUUCCUUGAAAUGUUUAUAUGUGUGUCCAGUUGUUUUUGAUGGUCUGUGAUUUUGUUUGUGUUUAGUUUACACAUCUCUCCUGAGGAUCUUGCUACCCAGCUGUAUUGCUAUAUUUCCUAUAAUACUGAAUUAAUUGUAUUUGUACUGUUUUGGCAGCCCUAACAGAUAGACAGAGGUCUCUACUGGCUCAGAAUACUUGACAUGAGGCACGUGUAAAAUUGAUUGUCUCUGGUUACUCUCGUGAUCUGUAUCCAAAGGGCAAGUCAGGUCUUGGAAUGCUGAGGUGAGACUUUCCAUGGCCUCUGUUUUUCUUGCUGGGUGGAUUCCACGUUACUUCCUUGGAUGUUUAAAGGUUAUUAUAUCCUUGCUCCCCUUUUUAUCGGCAAGCAUUCUCUCAUCUUCCGGUAACUCGAGUAAGAUGCAACACACUAAUGCUUUCUUAGUCUGGUUUGUUCUUGCAAAAAAUAAUUGAAGUGUGCAGACAGGCAGAAUGGAAACACUAAAGAGAAGUUUCAUACGUACUAAUAGCUGGAGUGAUUUCAUACCUGUAGUAACCGUCUCAGAAGAAAUAAGUUUCAGCUAUUUCUAAAGAUAUUAGAUCAUAAGAUUAUUCUUCAGUUAAGAUGUUUGCCAUGGACUAAUGUGUAUACGGCUGGAGUGGUCCAGAUUUGUUACAAGCUCCUUGUGUUGAGGAACGUCAAAGUGGGGAAGUUUCUAUUAUUUUCGAAACUAUUAUUCAAAUGCUGAAGUGUAAUUUAUCACACCCCUGAGCCAUAAGAUAUACACAUUUUACUGUACAGUCACUAAGCCUAUGUUAUCAAGUUUUAUCUUAGUAGUGUAUUACCAAUGUUUACAACUGUCCAAGUAGUGUGUUUCAAAAAUAGAAGCAAUGUGGCUCACACUGAUCAAUCACAUGUUUUAUCUCAACGGAUUUUCUAAAUUUUGACAUGCUGUUUUGAAGUAUAUAUUGGCAUGAUGCUGAAAAAGGACCUGAGAGGUGAAGUUUUAUUAUCUAUCCUGGUAGAAUAAUCCAAAGAAGAUAUGUUUUACUAACCAAUCUAUAUGCCUAACUGUGCUGCUAUUGUUAUUAUUUUCUUAAUGGAUGCGCCUAAAAUUGUUUUGGUGCUCUUCUACCAAGAUUGACCAAAUGAGUGUUCUGCUAAAGUAAAAGUCGUAAGACUGAAAUAACAUGGGUCAGCCUUUGUAUGUCUGCCAGUGCUACAAACUAUUUGAAUGAGAGAUCUGAAAAUACAUAGCACAUCGUAUGUCCACAGUUGUGAUGAUGGUAGGUGCAGAGUCUUGGCCUGUUCAUUACAUAAUUUGAAAGCAUGUAGAGCUUCAGGUUUAUGGUUCAGUAUAUCAUUGCAAAGUAGUUUAUGGCUCAGUAUAUCACUGCAGGUUCCUUACACCGUCAAAUUUCAAUGUUUUUGUAUUUUUGUCGAUGGAACCAUGUUCUUUGACUAUAAAGUAGCAGAGAUUUAUUUUCUUAUCAACUCUAAUCCCUUUUUGAUGCAUUGCAGGUUUGCUAUCAAACUCUCAAAAAAGAAAAAACAACUUUACUCUGUUUUUUGGAGAACCUUCCUGUAGAGUACCUCGACAGAGACAAAUAUGCGAUCAAGAAUAUAUUUGAUCGAUUUUCACGCAAAACUUGGAGGAUAUUUUUGCAGGUUCGUUGCUUGCUUUAUUGUUUUCUUACUUUCCAUUCUUCAAGACAAUAUCUUCCUAGCAUUGCUCUAUAAAUUUUAAUCCAUCUUUUUGUUCUUUUGAUUAUCAUGGCAUACUCAUCCUGUUUAAUCCAAGCAAGGGCCUUCAUGUUUGUAGAUAGUUUGGUGCUCUCAUGGUUAUUUUUGUAGUGAUUUUCCUUCUAUUCAUUAUUUGGUAACCAUCUACUGCAGCUCAGCUAUUGUCCAGCUGCUGACCUUAUGGCGAGUGAUUGAUGGUGCAUGUUUUCCUAUUAGUUUCUCUCUAUGCCAAUGUCUGAAUUUUAUCUUGCCGUUUUGCAUUUCUACAGGCCUUUCAUUCUCACUGUGAUUCCCCGAGAUGCGCUAUUAUUAGGCAUCCACUUUCUAAUAAAAAUUUGGCAGUCAACUUGAAAAGAGUAGUUUAUCUAGAUACAGCAACCUUCCUUGCUUUUGCAAAUAAUACUUUAUGGUUGACACUAUAGUCUAUUCCUGCCAAAUAUUUACACGUUAGUAUAACCAGAAAGUCAGAUGAUCGUUCCAUGUUGGUUAGCCGUGAUAAAUCAAAUUUCUAGAGUAGCAGAUGAUUCAUGUCAGGUUUCUUUUACAGAUUGAAAUAUGUCUUGACUCUGAAAUAAGUAGUACAACGUCCGGUUCUGCAUAGCUGAAAGCAUACUGUGGAAAAUGGGACAGCCUUCUAAAGCUCUGAAACUACUAUUUGUUGUGUGAUCUGUAUCCCCUUUUCAUACUCUGUAUAUGCUUUCUACUUACUAGGAAAAAGUGCGUGAGAACGAUGGCCUAGAGGAUGUAAAUUGCACUCAAAUAUAUGCAGGUUUCUUGCCAUACUAACUGUGCCACUAUUGUAUUUCAGGUGCUUCUUCUGUAACUUAGUGUAUUUGGCUCUUCUCAUUUCCUGGCGAGCUUUUUAGUCUGUACAGUUGAAUCGUUGGAAGUUGUUCUCUACUAUCUAUAGAGGUUUUAUCCAAAGUAUUUGCUACCUGACUUGCUUUUUUGAAAUACACUGUCCUGAUAGACAUAUUUCCAUGGGAUUUUAGAAAAAUAUAUGUGAAUUUGCAUACAUUUUCUAAAUUUCUAUCUUUACUUAUCCAUGCUUCCCCAUAAAUAAAUAGCAGGCUCAACAAAAAUGAAUGUUCGCUUGUGUUCAAAUUUCAAGGAAGUGUGCUUCACGCUUCUCUUUCUGCAAUAUGUUUCAGAGUAUAUGAUUUGAUUUUCCUACUUUCUCAGUUACAAUACUGUGUACUUCAUUCCUAGCUUUGCUUUAGGAAAUAGGUAUGCAGGUUAUCGAAAGCUCCAUUUUUCUCCAUUAUAUAGAUUAUAUAGCUUUGUGAUCGAAGGUAGGUUGUCACAUAGGGGAUGUUGCUUGUGAAAGUUAUAUACAGCCAUGUGUCCCUGACAAAAUAAUCGCAGCUCAUGUCAAAAGGAUCAGGGAACCUCAACCAUUUUUUCUGAAACAUGUCUCAGCUCAUGUUCCUACUUUCCCAGCUACACUACUACGUACUUCAUUCUUACCUUCGCUUUUGGAAGUUACAUUCUUUCUUUUCCCUCAUACACUUGCUAACGAUAUUGGCGAAGUAAUCCCCACUUCAGAUUUCCCAUUGAAUGAAUAACUAAUUUAGAUUGUUCAAAAAUUGUAGGUAGAUGAGUAGGAGCAAGGCAUCACACUCCAGCUCUGAGAAGAAAAGGAUAUGAAGACAAAGAUAGAUGAGUGUUCUGGUCCGACGCAAAAACAUUUUGCGUGUAAUAAUGAACUGUAAUUUACCACAAUCUCUCUAAAACAGGCCUACUUAUUACCAGUCCGUUGCUUGCUUUUGUAUUAGGAAGUAUGACUCAGUCAUAUAUAUUUACAUUCACGUUGUUUAGUUAUGGUUUGUAUGCAUGAAAAUACCAUUUUAAUCGAGCUUGAAAAUUCUUUUGUGUA